rnacentral:rRNA from 1 species
UGAGCAAUCUGCCCUUCUCAUCGGAAUAAGCGUUGGAAACGACGUCUAAUGCCGAAUACGACCUCCUUUCGCAUGAUCGGAGGUGGAAAGCUCCGGCGGAGAAGGAUGAGCUCGCGGCCUAUCAGCUAGUUGGUGUGGGUAAUGGCCCACCAAGGCGAUGACGGGUAGCCGGCCUGAGAGGGUGACCGGCCACACUGGGACUGAGACACGGCCCAGACCUCCGUAGGGAGG